CCUCGGCACCCCCCGCCCGCGGCCCGGGCGCCGCCGCCCGCCCCUCUCGGCAUGGAGGCCGCGGGGCGCGCGCAGGCGGCGCGGGACCGCGUCCCCAGGAUCGAUCCGUAUGGGUUUGAAAGGCCUGAGGACUUUGAUUAUGCAGCUUACGAAGAGUUUUUUUCCGCCUACCUGGCGAUCCUCACCAGGAGGGCCAUCAAAUGGUCCAGACUCCUAAAGGGCGGAGGUGCUGUCCAGAGGAGCAUGACCGUGAAGCGCUACAUCCGCAAGGGCAUCCCGCUGGAGCACCGGGCCCGAGUCUGGAUGGGGGUGAGCGGAGCCCAGGCCCGGAUGGACCGGAACCCCGGCUACUACCAGCGCCUCCUGCAGGGUGAGCGGAGCGCCAGCCUGGAGGAGGCCAUCCGGACAGACAUGAACAGGACCUUCCCCGACAACGUGCGCUUCCGGAAGGAUGCGGAACCCUGCCUGCAGGGCCCCCUGUACAACGUGCUGCUGGCCUACGGGCAUCACAACCAUGGCGUGGGCUAUUGCCAGGGGAUGAACUUCAUCGCGGGGUAUCUGAUCCUGGUGACUAAGAGUGAAGAGGAAGCCUUCUGGCUGUUGGACGCCCUGGUGGGCAGGAUACUCCCAGGUGGCGUUUGGGAAUUUGGGGAACUUCAGAGAACAAAGCCUAAAACCCUGGCAGCAACAGCAACUGAGAGAGACAGCAGAUUACUACAGCCCCUCGAUGCUGGGCCUGAAGACGGACCAGGAGGUGCUCGGGGAGCUGGUGCGGACGAAGCUGCCGGCGGUGGCAGCGCUGAUGGAUGGCCACGGCGUGCUGUGGACCCUGGUCGCGUCCCGCUGGUUCAUCUGCCUUUUCGUGGACGUCCUGCCCGUGGAGACGGUGCUGCGUGUCUGGGACUGCCUGUUCAGCGAGGGGUCCAAGAUCAUCUUCCGGGUGGCGCUGACCCUCCUCAAGCAUCACCAGGCCUCCAUCCUGGAGGCCACCAGUGUCCCCGACCUCUGUGAGAAGUUCAAGGAGAUCACCAGGGGCCGCUUUGUCACUGAGUGCCACAGCUUCAUGCAGAGAGUCUUCUCGGAGCCCGGGAGCCUGUCCAGGGCCAGCAUUGCCCGGCUGCGGGAGCGCUGCAGGGCGCAGCUGCUGGCGCAGGGCUGAGGCCUCGAGCUGGCCUCCGGCUGGCGCGGUCACUUCCAAGCGAGCUGUCGUGCUGUCUCUAAAUAUAUAUUUUUACCUGGAAUGCUGACGUGUAUAAAACGUGACGUGCGUGUUUGUGUUCGUUACACCAGUUCUUGUGAGCCUGCAAUGUAAUGUUUAUAAAUGACUUUGAAAUUGUUACACAA